rnacentral:rRNA from 1 species
UAGGGAAUCUUCCGCAAUGGACGCAAGUCUGACGGAGCAACGCCGCGUGAGUGAAGAAGGUCUUCGGAUCGUAAAGCUCUGUUGUUAGAGAAGAACAGCGCAUAGAGUAACUGUUAUGCGUGUGACGGUAUCUAACCAGAAAGCCACGGCUAACUACGUGCCAGCAGCCGCGGUAAUACGUAGGUGGCGAGCGUUGUCCGGAUUUAUUGGGCGUAAAGGGAGUGUAGGCGGUCUUUUAAGUCUGAUGUGAAAGCCCACGGCUCAACCGUGGAGGGUCAUUGGAAACUGGGAGACUUGAGUGCAGAAGAGGAGAGCGGAAUUCCAUGUGUAGCGGUGGAAUGCGUAGAUAUAUGGAGGAACACCAGUGGCGAAGGCGGCUCUCUGGUCUGUAACUGACGCUGAGGCUCGAAAGCGUGGGGAGCAAACAGGAUUAGAUACCCUGGUAGUCCACGCCGUAAACGAUGAGUGCUAAGUGUUGGAGGGGUUCCACCCUUCAGUGCUGGAGUUAACGCAAUAAGCACUCCGCCUGGGGAGUACGGCCGCAAGGCUG